GCCAGCGUACUCUCCGGAGUGACGGGUACACUGUGGGACCGCCGCUGCUAAAGCGGAGGAAGGAAUGGCAACGUAGGUCAGUAUGCCCCGAAUAUCCCGGGCUACACGCGAGCUACAAUGGUUGGUACAAUGGGUAUCUACCCCGAAAGGGGACGGGAAUCUCCUAAAACCAAUCUUAGUUCGGAUUGAGGGCUGCAACUCGCCCUCAUGAAGCUGGAAUCCGUAGUAAUCGCGUUUCAACAGAACGCGGUGAAUACGUCCCUGCUCCUU
rnacentral:rRNA from 1 species